rnacentral:lncRNA from 1 species
GUUUUUAGAGUACUAUCACCCUCAAAUUCUCUCAAAACCUUAAACUCUCUCUGAAGGUUUGCAGCCACUGCACCCCCUCUGAGGGUGGGUGGCUUCCCCAUCUUGCAUCUUUCUCUCCUCAUCUCCCUUUCUCCUUUCGUAGUUUUCUUUUCCUCUCCUAUUCUCUCACCAGAUUUGUCUGGAUUUGGGGUCAUUUUGCCCAGAUCUAUUUGGAUAUUGUCUUUUGUGUUGUUUAUUUGUGUGUUUUCUGUUGUAGGUCCUUGGUGACUUUUGUUGUUCUUGGAUGUGUCUUGCUGUCAUUGGGAUGGUUGCGGUGUGGUGUUGUCAACCCAGCUUUUCUCUUUGGUUUUCAUUGUGUUUUUUACUCAAGUACUGCAAUCCACCGUAGACGCCAUGAUUUUGUUGCAGCUUUUGGUCCACGCAUAUGGAAUUUGCUCCAAUUUAGUGUUUGGAGUUGGAAAAGUGAUGGUUGCUGGUUUGUGUGGGAUCGAGUUUUGCCUGUGCAAAAUAAGAGAUUUAGCCAUGUUGGUGCUACGAGUCUCUUUAGUUUGUUAGAGAGGAAGUGGUGCAGUGUCCUUGUUUCUGUGUUUAUUUUAGUCUAAUAAUUCUCAAAAACUCAAUAGGAGUUUGCUAAUGUAUGUAUUUAGUAUUCGACUUUUCGAUACGAAUUUGCCGUUACUGUCAUUGCGCGGUAGAUCUGUAUUGUAUGUCUAAGUACAGAUGGUUAUUGUCUGCCAAAUUGGAGUUUUUAGGUUUUUCUGGCAUGCGUAAUUCUCUCAAGAUCAAACCAAUUUAUUUUUGUGUUUGGUCACUGGAGAUGUUGUACUCAUAUUUGGCAUUGCGACUACUCUGUACUUUUUUUUUGUGUUAUCAAUAAAAU